AUAUGAGUCUGAGCAUGCAGACAGUCUGUGCACAAUUCACGGUGAAAAGGACAGUACAUCUAAGUAUAGGUACAAGAGUUCCUGUACACUGAAGCCUGUUGACGUCUCCAGACCAAAGCUCAAGAAGUGCACCAUGGUCUUCAAGUCCUAUUUGAUUUUUCUGUCCUCCCAUGUGAUGAGGAUUGAUCUGAACUGUGACAGUAUGAAUCAAAGUUCAAGAUUUUCCUACAAGCCAGUUUGUCACAGUGAGUACAAUGAGAAAUAUAUCACCUCUAUGUGACUUUCCUUGUGUGCUACUCAUGAUGAUCUAAAACUAUGUGU